rnacentral:rRNA from 1 species
AGCUCCAAUAGCGUAUAUUAAAGUUGCUGCAGUUAAAAAGCUCGUAGUUGCAUUUCCGAGGCAAGGGAUUAGUCCGACCUUUGGUGGGUAUUUAAUCCUCUUGCCUCGUCCUUGAGUGGUGCUUCUUGGUAUUAAGUUAUCGAGGAGAUAGCCGCUCAUCGUUUACUGUGAGAAAAUUAGAGUGUUCAAAGCAGGCUUAUGCCGUUGAAUAUAUUAGCAUGGAAUAAUAAGAUAGGACCUCGGUACUAUUUGGUUGUUUUGAGAACCAAGGUAAUGAUGAAUAGGGACAGUUGGGGGUAUUCGUAUUCAGUUGUCAGAGGUGAAAUUCUUAGAUUUACGGAAGACGAACUACUGCGAAAGCAUUUACCAAGGAUGUUUUCA